AAAGAAUUUAAUAUCCAAGAAAAAAAUGCUGAAUAUAUAAAGCAUCAUUUAUUAUAGAAUUAAAAUGAUAUACCAAUUAUACGGGUUACAUCUUAAAAAAGAUGAUUAUCUUGGAAAGGAUACACAGGUGAACAAAGUUAAGGUAAAAUAGUUUCAGGAACGCGUGAAAAUCGAAAGUUUAAAUAAAAGAGAAGAAAUUUCCGAUGGCUGUGGGAAUGUAACAAAAUUUUAAAGUAGCGAUUUAAGAUAAUCAAUCAUCUACAAACACGUUUUCGGCCACAGCGAAUACGUUCACCACUAAGAAUGUCGGUGGUGCACUCUCAAAGUAAAAAAAAUGAGUUCAAUGGACUGGCACUGGUUUCACCAAGAACGAUGAGCGAGAAGCGAUUGGAGCUACAAAAUAAGAAAUGAGUUGGCGCGCGAGCAGCGAGAAGCGAGUAUAGUUCUGUUGCAACCGGAAAGCGAUGAUCACACGGCAAAUCAAAUCCUGAAGACUAUAGCAGCCACGUCAAAGAAAGAUCUACCUACCUACCUACCUACCUAUUAAAAAAAAUGUUCAUUCUUUCUCGUUUGAUAUAAAACGAUUUGCCUCAUCUUUUUUGGUAAGGACGAUUAAGGAAUGGAAUGCGCUUCCGUCAUCUGUGUUUCCUGGGAAAUUUGACCUCGGUCUCUUUAAAGCAAGAGUGAAUAGGCUAUUACUUACUGAGCCGGUAAGCUCCAUCAUCUUAGGCUCUGUUUUCACUUUCCAUCAGGUGUGACUAGAGCCAAUGCCCGUUCAGUUUAUUAUAAAAAAUAUAUAUAC